UCAGGACGAACGCUGGCGGCGUGCCUAAUACAUGCAAGUCGAACGAACUCUGGUAUUGAUUGGUGCUUGCAUCAUGAUUUACAUUUGAGUGAGUGGCGAACUGGUGAGUAACACGUGGGAAACCUGCCCAGAAGCGGGGGAUAACACCUGGAAACAGAUGCUAAUACCGCAUAACAACUUGGACCGCAUGGUCCGAGUUUGAAAGAUGGCUUCGGCUAUCACUUUUGGAUGGUCCCGCGGCGUAUUAGCUAGAUGGUGGGGUAACGGCUCACCAUGGCAAUGAUACGUAGCCGACCUGAGAGGGUAAUCGGCCACAUUGGGACUGAGACACGGCCCAAACUCCUACGGGAGGCAGCAGUAGGGAAUCUUCCACAAUGGACGAAAGUCUGAUGGAGCAACGCCGCGUGAGUGAAGAAGGGUUUCGGCUCGUAAAACUCUGUUGUUAAAGAAGAACAUAUCUGAGAGUAACUGUUCAGGUAUUGACGGUAUUUAACCAGAAAGCCACGGCUAACUACGUGCCAGCAGCCGCGGUAAUACGUAGGUGGCAAGCGUUGUCCGGAUUUAUUGGGCGUAAAGCGAGCGCAGGCGGUUUUUUAAGUCUGAUGUGAAAGCCUUCGGCUCAACCGAAGAAGUGCAUCGGAAACUGGGAAACUUGAGUGCAGAAGAGGACAGUGGAACUCCAUGUGUAGCGGUGAAAUGCGUAGAUAUAUGGAAGAACACCAGUGGCGAAGGCGGCUGUCUGGUCUGUAACUGACGCUGAGGCUCGAAAGUAUGGGUAGCAAACAGGAUUAGAUACCCUGGUAGUCCAUACCGUAAACGAUGAAUGCUAAGUGUUGGAGGGUUUCCGCCCUUCAGUGCUGCAGCUAACGCAUUAAGCAUUCCGCCUGGGGAGUACGGCCGCAAGGCUGAAACUCAAAGGAAUUGACGGGGGCCCGCACAAGCGGUGGAGCAUGUGGUUUAAUUCGAAGCUACGCGAAGAACCUUACCAGGUCUUGACAUACUAUGCAAAUCUAAGAGAUUAGACGUUCCCUUCGGGGACAUGGAUACAGGUGGUGCAUGGUUGUCGUCAGCUCGUGUCGUGAGAUGUUGGGUUAAGUCCCGCAACGAGCGCAACCCUUAUUAUCAGUUGCCAGCAUUAAGUUGGGCACUCUGGUGAGACUGCCGGUGACAAACCGGAGGAAGGUGGGGAUGACGUCAAAUCAUCAUGCCCCUUAUGACCUGGGCUACACACGUGCUACAAUGGAUGGUACAACAAGUGGCGAACUCGCGAGAGUAAGCUAAUCUCUUAAAGCCAUUCUCAGUUCGGAUUGUAGGCUGCAACUCGCCUACAUGAAGUCGGAAUCGCUAGUA
rnacentral:rRNA from 2 species